rnacentral:lncRNA from 1 species
GUCGUGCGUCACACAGCCGCCCAGACCUGGGUCAUUCGCUAUACAUUUCAGCCACAAAAUCCUCGGAUUCUGACAGCUCCCCGACUGACCGGCUACCUCAGCAGAGGCUGGGGGCUCCUCUGGGAUUCCUGGUUAGUUUAUAAUCAAUUAAAUAUCACAGAGGAAGGCAGAAAUCAGUCACAGGAGCGGAGGGUGUUUUCCAUGCACCGGCCCGCAGACCAGAACCUGCAGCGAGUCAGUCUACACCCUGCCACCCCGCAUCUGCUGUUUUUCAAGAGCUGGAAGCUCCUGGAGCUUUGGACUGUUUCUUCGCUCUGGCAAAGCUGAUCUCGCAGCCAGCUCUUUGCGAUUCUUUAAUUUUUGCCCUUGUCAUCUUGCUCCUUUGCUCUCUGACCUGACAUGUCAUCUGUUCUUUCCAGUGAACACAUAUCCAUCACUUUCUUUAGGGUCCAUAAUCAUGUCCCCAUCCCUAACUCCAUCCCAGUGUGAUGAUCCUACUCCUUGAAUAGAAGUCCCCUGUAUCUUCAAGCUUCCCCCACCCGCCUUUCCUCUUUCCUUCCUUCUUAUUAACAAACAUUACCUAUGGGAGUUGCUGACAACUUAAACCAGAUAGAAUAUGGCUGCUAAGCCAAACCCUUCGACCUGGUCCUUGAGUCCUAGUUUCCUUCUAGGGACAAUUUCCAGGAAAAUCUAGGUAUCUGUCUUGGUUACUGCUCCCACCAGAAUUCUGCUAAUUAACAGUCUCAUUCCUACAAAACUGUUAACCAAUAAAUGGUUAGAGUUGGAAAAUCCUUCAAGUAUUUGCGUUUUAGUGGAGAAUCCUCAAAUAAGCGAGUGCCAACUUGAGACGUUAGUUCAUGCCACCUCAUCCAUCAUGGUCACCUAACGGUCAUCCUAACUGGUCGCCAUCUUAAUUAGGCCCUAUUUAUGGCCAAAGCCCUGGGGCCAGUUCCCAUUCCUGGUUCAUAGUGUCCACCAGCUCUGCUCCCUUCUGGAAGGGAGAUGUGUGGUUACAAGCUCUGACUCAUAAG